UUCGGAUUGUAAACCACUGUCGGGAGGGACGAAUACAGGGCCUCGAAUAGGGGACCCUGGGUGACGGUACCUCCAAAGGAAGCACCGGCUAACUCCGUGCCAGCAGCCGCGGUAAUACGGAGGGUGCGAGCGUUGUCCGGAAUCACUGGGCGUAAAGGGCGCGUAGGUGGCCCGAUAAGUUGCUGGUGAAAUCCCGGGGCUCAACUCCGGGGCUGCCGGUAAGACUGUCGGGCUCGAGCACGGUAGAGGCAGAUGGAAUUCCCGGUGUAGCGGUGGAAUGCGUAGAUAUCGGGAAGAAUACCAGUGGCGAAGGCGUUCUGCUGGGCCGUUGCUGACACUGAGGCGCGACAGCGUGGGGAGCAAACAGGAUUAGAUACCCUGGUAGUCCACGCCGUAAACGAUGGACACUAGGCGUCGGGGGGAGCGACCCCUUCGGUGCCGUCGCUAACGCAGUAAGUGUCCCGCCUGGGGAGUACGGCCGCAAGGCUGAAACUCAAAUGAAUUGACGGA
rnacentral:rRNA from 1 species